GACAUAUAACUGCUGAGAGACUUAAUAAAUGCUCCUCUACAGACAACAGCAGAGUUUAUUUCUAACACCUCAUAAGCUUAGUCUGGAAACUCUUCUAAAUAAGUGGGCCACCACAGUACAGUGUCAGUAAACAGGCUUUGGUUUCCGUUCUUACAAGGAGUGGACAGGCUGGAGAAUGGGUGUAUUGAGUGACAAGGCAACAUGCUGAUGUCUUCUAUAACAAUAACCUCCUAUCAAACUCAUGAGAAGUAGCUGCCCAGGAACUAGUAAC